GGAUGUGAAGGUGAUCUGGCUGUGUCAUCUGUUGCCCCAUUGAUCGCCAGGGUUGAUUCAGCUGAUCUGGCUGGCUAGGCAGGUGUCCCCUUCCUCCCUCACAGCUCCAUGUGCAUCCCUCCAGCAACCCUCCCACCUCAGCCUGCUGAGUAGCUGGGACCAUGGGCACACACCACUCACCCGGCUAAUUUUGUUUGUUUGUUUGUUUAUUUAUUUAUUUUGAGAUGGAGUCUUGCUCUGUCGC
rnacentral:snRNA from 2 species